UGAGCCACCGUGCCCGGGCUACCUAAACUUCUUUAAAAGAAAUGAUGGUAAAGUCCCAGCCCCAGAGAUUCUGACUUCAUUGUGACAAGGGGGGAGAGGGACAAGCAUCAGAGGUUUUUGUAAGUCCCCAUGUUGUUCCAAUGUGCAGCCAGGAUGGAGAGCAGCUGGAUGUCAGGAUGCACACACAGGACGAUGGAAGGAGGUGGCUCAUCUGCCAUGAGAAUGCCAUCUCCUGCGACCCGGAAGUGGGCUUCUCCCAGGGCCAUUUCCAAACAGCCUCAUCAGAGGUUCUUUUCUGAGGGAAAGACUUAAGCACUUUCUUGUGUGCUUCCAGCUCGAUGGGAGAUGCAGUGAGGAGCUUUGCUUUUAGAAACAGGCUGUGUCACACGGUCAUGGAAGAAAGGAGAUGCCGCCACGUGUUAGAUCACAGGGACAGGUGAAAAACCCAUAACCCCAAAUUUGAAUUGGAAGCAUCAGUAUGAAAUCAUGCUGUAUUUCGUCUUACAAAAUAAAGCACACGUGUUUGCUGGCUCUGUCCACCAAAAGGUUAGAAAUAACGACCCUUUCGGAAGCACCCCCAACACCUGGAUUAUGGUUUCUAAACACCCCUGCCAAGGAGAGAUCAGGGCUCCAUGGAGAAAUGGCUGAUUCCAAGUCUGAGGCAUGAAAGGUUCAAGAGAAGCCUGGAACAUCUUGUCAUUCUUUGUUCCUCAAUAUCAAGGAAGCUGUCAAUGACUUCUGGGGUCACAUCCAAAAGGAUGCAGGGGACAAUGUGAAGAGGCUGCCACUGGCCAAAGAUGGGUCGUUUUUUGGGCAUCGAUGAGCACAAUGACUGCACUGGAUGGAAACAUACCAUGUAUGUCCAAAUCAACGAGCUCACCAUGACACUUAGAAAAAUAUAAAUUCAUCUGUCACCUUUGGAGGAUUUUGGGAAACCAACUUAUUGUGAAAGCUGACAGAUAAAGGAAAAGAAUCAAGCAUUUAUUCUUUUAGGUAUGGACCAUACUUUAUGAUAGCCAAGUAGUUGAUAAGUUGAUACUCUUUCUAGAUGUAUUUCCACUAACAAAAACAGAAUACUAGAAUUAGUAUCCUUUUAUUUCAAAAUCUAAUAAAAAUAAUGUAUCUAGACAAUGAUGAUCAGUGCUGCUAACGUCACAAAGAAGGGCAAGAAACCACCACUAGGAGUAGUUAUAAAAAAAAAAUCGAACAUGAAGGUAAGUGGGCUUCUAGAUCUAACUACCAAUUUAUAAGAAAUACAGGGAGAAACAUAACUUCUCUAUGGGGAGACAACAAGCAAAAUCCAGACUGUAGGAAACUAUAGAAUAAACAACCCAGUUUCUUCAACAAAUAAAUUGCAAAGGAAGAAAAAGAGAAGGGAAGAGAACCUACAAAUUAAGAGGGUUGUAGGAGACGUCCCGAUGGCCACAUACAAACCUUAUUUGGAUACUGAUUUUUUUUUUUUGAGUGCUGACUGGAUACUUGCUGAUAUUAAAAGCAUCACUAUUAGUUUUAGUAGGUGUGAUGGUGGCAAAAAAAUAAUCAUUUUUUUGGAGUUAUAUACUGAAAUAUUUGCAAAAGAAAUGGUUGCUAUCUGGAAUUUGCUUCAAAAUAACCUGGGAUGGGAGGAGGGAAGGGGGCCCCGAUGGAAUAGGACUGGCUUGAGAGUUGGUGACUGCUGGAGCUGGGGCUCGUGGAGUCACACUCUAUUAGGGACAGACAGGAUGUGUGCACACUGUGAGGCUCUUCACAAUGAAAAGAGAAAAGGAAAGACCAGCCUUUUCCUUCCCUUCUCUCGGGGGUGUCGGGCUGGUUUGCCCACCACUGCUGGCAUCUCUGGGACGAGCCCCGAGAGCGGGCUUGGGAUGUAUCUUCAACAUCUCAGCCCCGUCUCCAUGGCAACCAGAGGCAAGGGAAAGUCCCAUCAAAAGGCUUCUGUCCCCACAUAGCUGCUCCCCUGGGAGCACUCGCUAGCCAGAUCUUCACAGGGCACCCCAAGGCUGCCUCCUAGUGCACCCCCUGAGGAAGUAGAGGCCAAUUAGUAGAGAGGACAGGACCCUGAAUCAGACCCAGGUCCAAAUUCUGACUUCACCACUUAAUGGCAGGACGUCGAGCCUCCCUGAGCCUUGGUUUUUCUCAUCUAUAAAAUGGGCAUAAUGUGACCUCUACCAACUCAACACAUCUUUAUUAUGGAAGGACAGUGGCAAAAAGGACCCAGUCUCCGCCCCACAGAACUAGACGCUCAGCGGGGAGAGGCAGUCUCGGUGGAGUAGGGGUACCGUGAUAAGGAGCCCAUUGUGGAACUUGAGACUUAAGGGUGCCUAGUCACAGCCCAGUUUUUGAAAAAACUGGUGGUCACUAUUUAGAUGUCAUAACUCUCCGUACUUUCAUUAACCAGAACAUUUUCCAACUGCUGAGUAUCUAGUCAUUGCAAACACACAGAAUAAUUUCUCUCAACUCAAUUCUCACGUCCCUACGAGGUAAGGCCUGUCAUUCCAGCCUAUGAAGGACAAAGCUGGGCACAGGGAGGCGUGCUACAUUGCCCAAGGCCACGCUGUUGGUGCAUGGCCCUUGUCUUUCAUAAUCUUUGAAAUGCCACAGCAGGGCCAGGAAAUCAGUGCUGCCAGGAGACUCGAAGCUCUCCAGAUCACACUUUGUUUUGCAAAUCAAGAAACAGUGGCCCAGAGAGGUCAAGGAACUUGACUGAGGCCACACGGCAAACUAGCCGCUGAGCCCGUGUUUGGGCUGCUUGGGGAGAAGGUACCCGGAAGCCCCAUGUGGUAAGGGAAGCCGACUCUUAAUGCCCCAGGUAAGCCUGUUCCUGAGUAGGGUGGCUAACCUUCCCAGUUUUGCCCGGGACUGAGUGGUUUCUUGGGACUGGGGGCUUCAGGGGCUAAAACCAGGGCAGUCCUGGGCCAGCUGGGAUGGGCUGGCCACUCUAUGUCAUAGACAGUGAGGCAUCUAAAUAGGUGUUUUCCAGGAAAUGAGGCUUUGGGGCAGAGCUGGCUAGGGAGAACCAUCAACAGGACCCCAUAGAAGUACUGUGGCUUCAUGCCUAUGGUCCCCUGGGAGGUACCACCCACGUCAUCUCAGUGGCCUUCAAAGGGGUCUGUGGCCCAACGUUCUUCUUUGCACCCCUCCCGUCUGCUCUGUUCCCAACAGCCAGAGCUCUCUUUCUAAAUCAUAAACCUAAUUGCUCCAUGUCCAGUUUGCAAACCUAAAUGGUUUCUCAUUUUCCCCAUCGCUUUAGGAUAAAUGCUAAAUUUUGCAAGCCCAGGAUGCCUUUGGUGGGCUUGCCCCUGUCCACCUGGUCCAGCCUCCCUCUGGAACCCACCCUGCUGCACCCCUAUGCAAUUCCAAGCAGGGCCAGGAUAACCCAAUACCUUCUAACUAACCCUCCCCUCAUCCAUAACCCUGUCCCUAGCAUCCCACUCUUUCUUCCAUGACAUCAGCACAAUUGUGAUCACAUGGCUAUUGGUAUAAUUAGCUGAUUAUUAAUAUCUAGUCAGUCCCACCCCUGGCUACACUGCCAGCCCGAGGGGGCAGGGGCAGGGGCGGGUCUGUGAUAUUCACUUCUGUUUCACAGCCUCUGACUCAGUGGUGACAUGUGAAUGACACUCAAUAGUCAUCAAAUGGCCCCACCACCACCAACACCGCUGACUCCUCUGACCUGUUCUCCAUCUGGGAUCACAGAAACCCGCCAAAGCCACACAGAACUCCAGGUCCCAUUUCAGUUCCAGAGUUCUCCCAGAUUUCUCGUUGCUAAGCUGUGAAGUUCCAGGUUGCACAGCGCGGCUGCUAAUUGGCAGGGAGUUCCCGGGCGGCUCCAAUCAGGGCCGGGCUGCUGAAAAGAGCGUCCGCAUCGCAGCUCGCCUGGAGGUUUUGGAAUUUUCUCCCUGACGUCGUGAACCGCAAAGGUCUUUGUCUCACUGCAGAACCUGCUCUCUCGAUGUGGCUGGUGGGGACACCAGAGACCCUGGAAUUAACCCCAGAGGCACAGGGAGAUCCCGGUCAGGGACAGAGAUGCUUGGGACCCAUUCACAGCUGGCCAGGGACAGACAGUGUGACCGCCUCCCCAUCCUGAGGCAGGAGGGGUGGCUCAAGGCCCCCAGGACAGAUCUCUCACGUCUACCGCCCAAGUGUGGUGCAAGACUGGAGAAGGCUGAAGAAAACUGGAAGCCAUUGAACUUGGGAUUAGUGAGGUGAAACCCACAUUUAUAAAGGACUAUAAAACACACAGAUGGAGGGACAUUCAGUGUUCCCCCUCUAGCAUUCUAAUGAAAACCACCACCAUGAACUGAGUUCCUACUGUGAGCCAGAGACUGCAUUCCCAUUUCUUCCUAUCCAGAAAUUUCCACGGGACAGCAGAUUGGUAAUGAUGGACAGCUGCUGCUGGACUGCUGCUUUCAAGAACAGGAAGUCAUGUGACCCAGGUCUGGCCACAGUGAUUGGCUCUGGGAUGGGCACCUGACCAAGCUGGGCCAAUCAGAAUCUUCCUUGAGACUUUUCUACUGGAACUGUAGGAAAAGACCCAUGCCCAUCACAGCAUUUACUGAGCUGGUGGCCACUGAGAACACACAUGGAAAGUGCCUGAGAAAGAUAUGGAGCCCUCAAAAACAUGGUGGCCCCGUGACAAUACUGGAGCCCCAGAUGCAGCUGGAGGGGGAACCAGAUCUACUCCCUGGAUUUUAUAGUUACAAGAACAGUAAAUUCUUUUUCUGCUUAA